GUUAUCUAAUCAAAGCACGCGGACCAUGCUUCCUAUUUUCUUUAUGCAAAACCUUUCAUUUUAGCGUAUAAAAUGAUAGUCAGUCUACUUCUACUCGAUUCAAUAAUCUUCCCACUCUACUCUUCUCUUCCUUCUUGGGUCUCUUGAUUUUUCACAAGAAAAAGAGAAAAUGUACAAUCCUCCAGCCUACGAAGAUAUGUCUUACCGUGAGCACAUCCGAAGACGGCACGAGGACAAGGGUUUUCUCUAUGCAUGCCUGUUUGCAUUGUGUUGCUGCUUUUGCUGUUACGAGACCUGCGAAUGCUGCCUAGACAUGCUCUGUUGUUGCACUUGCUGUCCUUAGAGAUGGUGGAGUCCUUGGGUUUGGUUCUUUCUCCAUGGUCUCAUGGAGAACCAUGCAUGGUCUCUUUUUUUUUUGUCAGUUUUUGAAAAUUACUUAAGUUAUUUUCAUGGAUCAAAAUAUGUCAUUCUUGUUACUAAUGGGUGAGGUAUUUGUGAUUUGGGACACAAAUAAAUUCAUGUUUUUUUGUGCGUUUAUCAUAGUGUUUGAUUUUAUUUUUUUUUCUUUUUCUUUUGUGAUGCAAUGGAUAUUCCGCCACAUGACUACUAAUAGAAAUACUUCAGUAAUGUGUUUGAUCUGUUAA